ensembl:lncRNA
AUACCAUCAACACUGCAUUGAUGUGGAACAAUCCAGUGGAGUCUAAACAUUCCUCUCCUCAGAUCUUAUCAUUAAGAGAAAGUUUGACAAAGAGGAAUACAAUUUUAUUAGAUUUUUAGAAUUUAUCUUUCUCUACUAUGUAGAAAUACAUGUGUGAUACGGAAGCUCAAAAGAGAACUUUUCAGUUUCAGACAGCAGCAGAGAGAGAUGCAGAGAUAUUGCAGAGAUGCUCACUUCAGUUUUUUUGGCAAAGAACAACAGGCCCCUCCCACGACAGUUUGAUUGACAGUAGCGUUUCAGCACAGACUGGACUGGCGUUUUACCUUAGACCCACCCUGAGUGAGCUGUCAUCAGUCCACCAUUGUUUGACCGCCGGAGCAGAUGUAGACAAGAAUGUCUUCUAAGCGAUUGAGGUGUUCUACUGUUGGAUGUAAUAAUGAACAUAGCAGUCGUCAUUUUCUCCUGACAUUUGAGCUGCUGAAGACACAGUGGAUUACAUUUUGUGCCCCCGAUCUACCUAAAGACAUCUAUCUUUGCGUGAAUCAAUCGUGAUCCUGCUUCACCAACAGAAAAAGCAGCCCAAAUGGCUCUGAUGGCUCUUGAAUGCACCUUUCCUAAAGCUCCAGAAAACACCUGAUUCUGUUGAAGAAAACUGUCAAAGGUUUUGGAUUGGGAAAAGCAGUUACCAGUGUGCAUGAGGUGAUUUCUCAGUAACAGGAAUAUCUGGCAACACUGGCAGAACUUAAAGUGAUAGUAAUCAAAAGAGCCCACAGACAUGUUAUUGCUGACAGGAUACCACAUUCGAGUAAACAGAGUUCCUCACUCUCUGACCAGGAUACAGGAGAGGAAGACCUGGGGCCUGAUGUAUAAACGUUGCGUACGCACAAAAUGGGCAUAGAAAUAUGCAUACGCAUUUUUCCACGCACAUAUCGGGAUUCAUAAAAAAUAAACUUGGCGUAAAUAAGUGCGCACCGUAAGGAUGCUCUUGACCGUGCGUACGCACUUCUUUUUCCUGGAGUGAGAAAAGUAAUUAAGCAAACAGCGAUUUUAAACAUAAUGAAAAAUACCACUAUGUUUGAAGGAUAUAACUAGGAGAAAACGGUAAGAUUUGCACCUUUCCUUUUUAAAAUACUUUGUCAGUGACAAGCCGAAUCAGACAAUUGUGUUUACACUGCAAUAAAUAUGGACUUAUCUGUUUCCACUAAAAAAGCUUAAAGAUGUUCAUCAGCAAAACUGCAUACAUUUAAUUUGAUUUUUUUUUUAAACAAUUGAAAUACUAUUUGGCCAGUGGAAAAGAAUGAGAUCAACUCUAUUCUAAAAUAUAUCUGAAAACAACUUUAAACCAUCUUGUGUUUAUGGAUAUUUUCAUAUUAUUAAACAUAACAAUGAUACUGGAUAAUUUUUAGCAAUAAAAAUUAAUGUGUAUGGCACAAAUGACAUUAUAGUCCCCAUCUCAUAUUUCCUUAAUGUCUCAGUGUUAAACAUCGUGUCACCUGCAUGGGAAUAUGCAUGGAAAUGACAUGCAGAUGAGGUUAUGCAUAGUAAAACAAGGCGUUGUAAGCUCCAUAUAUGGUGAUUUCGGGGAGGAGUCGGGGUGGAGAUGCACAUACACGCAAUCUUCCCCUGACUGGGAUUUAUAAAGGGAUUUUUGCGCAGGUUCUGGCGUACGCAUGGUUUUAUAAAUCUGAAAACUUUUGUGCGUACGCACACUUUAAGGAUGAAAUCUACGCAAAGUUUUAUAAAUGAGGCCCCUGGACUCAGAGGAUUCAGAAUUCUGGCGGCUACAGGGGCAGCUGCAGGAGGAGGCCUGUGUGGCUCUGGUGUUGGCCCGUCCCAUAGCCCGCAUGCAGGAGGAGGUGGAGAGACAGAUAAUGACAGAAUUUUCUUUUGUGGGUGUGAAUUAUCAUUGUUGUAUGGACCAUCUUACUCACAACAACUGUUGUAAUGUUUGUGGCAAAUAAAAAGUAAAC